UGCAUGUCUAAGUAUAAGCACUUUAUACUGUGAAACUGCGAAUGGCUCAUUAAAUCAGUUAUCGUUUAUUUGAUAGUACCUUACUACAUGGAUACCUGUGGUAAUUCUAGAGCUAAUACAUGCUGAAAACCUCGACUUCGGAAGGGGUGUAUUUAUUAGAUAAAAAACCAAUGCCCUUCGGGGCUCCUUGGUGAAUCAUAAUAACUUAACGAAUCGCAUGGCCUUGCGCCGGCGAUGGUUCAUUCAAAUUUCUGCCCUAUCAACUUUCGAUGGUAGGAUAGUGGCCUACCAUGGUGGCAACGGGUAACGGGGAAUUAGGGUUCGAUUCCGGAGAGGGAGCCUGAGAAACGGCUACCACAUCCAAGGAAGGCAGCAGGCGCGCAAAUUACCCAAUCCCGACACGGGGAGGUAGUGACAAUAAAUACUGAUACGGGGCUCUUUUGGGUCUCGUAAUUGGAAUGAGUACAAUCUAAAUCCCUUAACGAGGAACAAUUGGAGGGCAAGUCUGGUGCCAGCAGCCGCGGUAAUUCCAGCUCCAAUAGCGUAUAUUAAAGUUGUUGCAGUUAAAAAGCUCGUAGUUGAACCUUGGGUCUGGCUGGCCGGUCCGCCUCACCGCGAGUACUGGUCCGGCUGGACCUUUCCUUCUGGGGAAUCUCAUGGCCUUCACUGGCUGUGGGGGGAACCAGGACUUUUACUGUGAAAAAAUUAGAGUGUUCAAAG
rnacentral:rRNA from 1 species